GGGGAUGGGAAGAGUCACUCACCGCUCAAAGGACAGUGGAUCCAUGCAGCUGCCUUUGAAAGCAUUGUGGUAACAUCUGGUGAAGUUGAAAAUGUGGAUACGAUUGACCCAAGAAGCGUCUAUAUAGAUAUGAAUCCUGAAGUAUUUUGAAACUGUGCACAAGGUGACACACUCAAGAAGUUCACGUCGAGGACCUGAGGCAGAAAAGGCUGAUUCUGCAGCCACCGGCAGUUACACAGCUCAGUGCCCAUUGCAGAAGAAAAACAUAAUGAUGGGAGAACAAGAUAAGGGAACAAGGACUAUAGAGAUGGAAAGAUGAACCAUGGCCUCGCAGUUAACAGCUGACUUGAAUUCGUGACUGUCUGAAUUAAGAGUUU
rnacentral:lncRNA from 1 species